rnacentral:rRNA from 1 species
GCAUAUCAAUAAGCGGAGGAAAAGAAACUAACAAGGAUUCCCCUAGUAACUGCGAGUGAAGCGGGAAAAGCUCAAAUUUAAAAGCUGGCGGUCUUUGGCCGUCCGCAUUGUAAUCUAGAGAAGUGUUACCCGCGUUGGACCGUGUACAAGUCUCCUGGAAUGGAGCGUCAUAGAGGGUGACAAUCCCGUCUUUGACACGGACUCCCAAGGCUUUGUGGUGCGCUCUCAAAGAGUCGAGUUGUUUGGGAAUGCAGCUCUAAAUGGGUGGUAAAUUCCAUCUAAAGCUAAAUAUUGGCGAGAGACCGAUAGCGAACAAGUACCGUGAGGGAAAGAUGAAAAGAACUUUGGAAAGAGAGUUAAACAGUACGUGAAAUUGCUGAAAGGGAAACGCUUGAAGUCAGUCGCGUCGUCCGGAGAUCAACCUUGCUUUUGCUGGGCGUACUCUCCGUUUGACGGGCCAGCAUCAGUUUUGGCUACUGGAAAAGGGCGGAGGAAAUGUGGCAUCUUCGGAUGUGUUAUAGUCUUCCGUCGUAUACAGUGGCUGGGACUGAGGAACUCAGCACGCCGCAAGGCCGGGAUUUAUCCACGUACGUGCUUAGGAUGCUGGCAUAAUGGCUUUAAUCGACCCGUCUUGAAACACGGACCAAGGAGUCUAACAUGCCUGCGAGUGUUUGGGUGGAAAACCCGAGCGCGUAAUGAAAGUGAAAGUUGAGAUCCCUGUCGUGGGGAGCAUCGACGCCCGGACCAGACCUUUUGUGACGGAUCUGCGGUAGAGCAUGUAUGUUGGGACCCGAAAGAUGGUGAACUAUGCCUGAAUAGGGUGAAGCCAGAGGAAACUCUGGUGGAGGCUCGUAGCGAUUCUGACGUGCAAAUCGAUCGUCAAAUUUGGGUAUAGGGGCGAAAGACUAAUCGAACCAUCUAGUAGCUGGUUCCUGC